rnacentral:rRNA from 1 species
CCUACGGGAGGCUGCAGUGGGGAAUAUUGCACAAUGGGCGCAAGCCUGAUGCAGCCAUGCCGCGUGUGUGAAGAAGGCCUUCGGGUUGUAAAGCACUUUCAGCGGGGAGGAAGGCGGUGAGGUUAAUAACCUCAUCGAUUGACGUUACCCGCAGAAGAAGCACCGGCUAACUCCGUGCCAGCAGCCGCGGUAAUACGGAGGAUGCAAGCGUUAAUCGGAAUUACUGGGCGUAAAGCGCACGCAGGCGGUCUGUCAAGUCGGAUGUGAAAUCCCCGGGCUCAACCUGGGAACUGCAUUCGAAACUGGCAGGCUAGAGUCUUGUAGAGGGGGGUAGAAUUCCAGGUGUAGCGGUGAAAUGCGUAGAGAUCUGGAGGAAUACCGGUGGCGAAGGCGGCCCCCUGGACAAAGACUGACGCUCAGGUGCGAAAGCGUGGGGAGCAAACAGGAUUAGAUACCCGAGUAGUC